rnacentral:lncRNA from 1 species
GGAACUGGGAUGCCCAGCCGUUGGCCUAGCUGACUAGACACUUGAUAAAAUAGUUUCAUAGUAGAGGCCAAACUCAAGAUGCACCGCACAAUGUGAUGCAUCAUGAGCACCAUCCAUCAUAUGAUGGAUAGCUACACAUGAUCGUGCACGAUAUGCAUUGUAUUGCCCACAUUCAUAUACGAUCGGUCAUGUAUGGUAUGCAUCGCACAGUUCGCAUCCACAUACGGCCGUCCAUCUUGUGAUGGAUGGUGUAUGCGAUAAACUAUACUAUUUGGUGCACUGUAAAGGAUCU